GUUCACCUGUCUCUGCACUCCACUCUGGGCCCCAUGUUAGACCCCAUAUCAUAUUUAGUUUUCUUCUUAACUCGAGAUGUACCUGCUUUCUACUAAAAUACUUGCCUGACCUCAAAUGCCAACAGUACUAGACUAAAGAUACCAUGACUAGAAGAGCUUGACAAAAGGCAGAAGUGAUCUGAGGUUACUACCAUGAGCCUCUUCCCUGGCUUCCUUGGAAGAUGGAUGAUAAAGUAGAUCCUGAGUUCAAAUCCCAGCAACCACGUGGUAGCUUACAACCAUCUGUAUUGAGAUCUGGUGCCUUCUUCUGGAGUGCAAAUUUUCGCUACUUUUCUUAUGAAGGAACUGAACUGAGACUGAAAUGUGACCCAGAUGCAUUCCUCAGCAGCCACAUCAGUGAACCAUGACCAUUCCUAACAAUGACCUUUGAAGUCUCCAAAAUGAUGAUGGGGCCUCACAAUGACGAAUCCAUAUGGAUUAUGGUAACACCACCAAGCUAACAAACACCACCAAAAGAUCAACUUUGGACUACAAACUGCUCAAGACAACUUCCAAGUAGUUAGCUAAGAUGGUCCAGCCUUAUAGACCACUCUAGCCAAGACUUCAGACAAGCCUUACAUUUUCCCAUCACACUGAGAUGGGACAAUAGAUAGCUUUCCCAGGAUUUGAUCUUUAUCUCAAUUUUUUUCAGGGUCCCAUAAAGAUGCUGUCACUCCCAGACAAUGGGAAGUAAUUUUAAGAACAUGACACCCACAUUCCCAAGAAGUGGAUGUUUGUCAUCAUUUAGGGGGGUUGGUUACAAGUUAU